rnacentral:rRNA from 1 species
UACGCUGGCGGCACGCCUAACACAUGCAAGUCGAACGAAGUAGUAAUACUUAGUGGCAGACGGGUGAGUAACAUGUAGGUAUCUGCCCUUUGGCCUGGAAUAACACGAGGAAACUUGUGCUAAUACCGGAUAAGUCUUUACGGAGAAAGCUUUAUGCACCAUUGGAUGAGCCUGCACUUGAUUAGUUUGUUGGUGGGGUAAUGGCCUACCAAGACUGUGAUCAAUAGCUGAUUUGAGAGGAUGAUCAGCCACAUUGGGACUGAGACACGGCCCAAACUCCUACGGGAGGCAGCAGUGGGGAAUCUUGCACAAUGGAGGAAACUCUGAUGCAGCGAUGCCGCGUGAGUGAAGAAGGCCCUUGGGUUGUAAAGCUCUUUCGUCGGGGAAGAAAAUGACUGUACCCGAAUAAGAAGGUC